UUGGAGGGCAAGUCUGGUGCCAGCAGCCGCGGUAAUUCCGGCUCCAAUAGCGUAUAUUAAAGUUGUUGCAGUUAAAAAGCUCGUAGUUGAAUUUCGGGAUCAAUGUUUCGGUCAUGCCGUUGGUAUGUACUGAUAUUAUUGAUUUCUCACCUUCUAAAGAACCGUAAUGCCAUUAAUUUGGUGUCACGGGGAAUUAGGACUGUUACCUUGAAAAAAUUAGAGUGUUUAAAGCAGGCUCACGCUUGAAUACAUUAGCAUGGAGUAAUGAAAUAGGACAUCCGAUUCUAUUUUGUUGGUUUCUAGGAUCGAUGUAAUGAUUAAUAGGGAUAGUUGGGGGCAUUAGUAUUCAAUUGUCAGAGGUGAAAUUCUUGGAUUUAUUGAAGACUAACUACUGCGAAAGCAUUUGCCAAGGAUGUUUUCAUUAAUCAAGAACGAAAGUUAGGGGAUCGAAGACGAUCAGAUACCGUCGUAGUCUUAACCAUAAACUAUGCCGACUAGGGAUCGGAUGAUGUAAAUUUUUUAAUGACUCAUUCGGCGCCUUACGGGAAACCAAAGUGUUUGGGUUC
rnacentral:rRNA from 1 species